rnacentral:rRNA from 1 species
AACGAACGCUGGCGGCAUGCCUAACACAUGCAAGUCGAACGAGACCUUCGGGUCUAGUGGCGCACGGGUGCGUAACGCGUGGGAACCUGCCCUUAGGUUCGGAAUAACUCCCCGAAAGGGGUGCUAAUACCGGAUAAUGUCUUCGGACCAAAGAUUUAUCGCCUUUGGAUGGGCCCGCGUUGGAUUAGCUAGUUGGUAGGGUAAAAGCCUACCAAGGCGACGAUCCAUAGCUGGUCUGAGAGGAUGAUCAGCCACACUGGGACUGAGACACGGCCCAGACGGGUGAGGGAGGGAGCAGGGGGGGAGGUGGGAGUAUGGGCUGAAGCCUGAUGCAGCAACGACGUGUGCGGGAUGGCGGACUGCGGGGUGGAAACCGCUUUCGCCGGGGACCAAGCGGGAGUGACGGUAAGUGGUAAAGAGGCAACGGCUAGCUAGGUG